CUCCUCACUUCUCUUUCUCUUUUCUUUCUUUUUCUUCUUUUGCAUUUUUGGGUAGAACACUCCCUCACACUCACCCACUGAACUCCACUCCAAACCACCAUCUCACCAUCAUUUUUCGACAAAAUCACCGGAAAAAAAUUCUUGAAACCCAUAAGCACCUUCACAUCCUUUUUUUUUUUUUUUUGAGGUAUGCUUGAUAUUGUUGAGAUUCUAGCUAAUCUCCUCUAGAGCUUGGAGAAUUAGGCUUUUCGCGGGUUGCAAGGUAAGUAGCUUUUUAAUGGGAUUUUGAAAAAUAACCUUGUUAUAUAAAUGUUUUUGGGUUAGACACGCUUUUGGAUACUACCUAUAGAAAUUAUAUUUUCCUAAAAACUAUUGUGUCGUAACCUUAAUAUAUAUAUAUAUAUAUAUAUAUAUGAUUAUAUAUGGAAAUGCAUUAUAUUUGGUAUUGCAUUUGGGAAAAUGCAUGAAUUAUUGAUAUGGAAAAAUGAGCAUCUUUUAUUUAAUCUUUGAUAAGAAAAUCUUGGAUGUUAUGGUAUAUUAGAAAAUUUAAAGAUGCUUAUCUUGCCUUAGUACUUGGGAAAUUGAUAGAAAACCUGUUUGACAAGAAUAAAGUUGAAACCUUACAAACUUUGUAGAAGUGAGAUUAUUUAAGGUUUUUUUUUUUAAACUACUUGGAUAUGAACUGUGUUACAAAGUAAUGUAACUUGUGAGUUGUUUUAACACCAUGCCAUGUGUGAUUUCCCGGUGAUCACCCGAUUUGGUUUCUGUAGUCUUUGUGACAAUGGAAUCAAAUCUAGGUCAAUGCCCUUUCACUUUGGAUGACACGUUCUUCCCUGCUGUCCAUGGGGGGAAGAGGUUCCUUGAUUGUGUGUAGAUGAGGCUGCUGUCCAUGGAGCCAAGAGACCACAUGCAAGAGAGGUCCUAUUUGACGCGCUCUCUCUGCUGCCCAUGGGGGGAGAGAAAAACCUUGAGGGUAUGGGUGAGGCUGAUGUCCAUGGAGCCAAAAGUCUGCAUACCAGAGAGGACAAUAUCAUGCCAGUUGUGAAUGGGUGGAUCCCUUGACCGAUUUAUGUGGUAGUAUGGUAUAUUUAUAAUAAAUUACCAUAUGUUAGAUUUUAUGGCUUUGGAAAUUAUAUGGUUAGUGCUCACAGAUUAUAGUAUAUACUUUCAAGGUAUUUACUUUAAAAAACUUUGUGUUUCAUUAUUAAAUCAUUCUUGUCAUAUUAUUAUUAUUGAAGAUGAAACUCGCAUUUUCCCCACCCCCAUUAAUUAUGCUACUUACUGGGCGUUAGCUCAUCCCACCCUUUAACAGUUUUGUUAGAUUUAUUAGCUAUACAUUGGGUAUGGAGCUUACUUCUUUGGUGAUGAUUAGAGUGCUAUGUUAAAUUUGGAGACUUUUGCUCUAAAUGGUUGGUGACUCAAUCUUGCUAUGUUCAACGAGACCUUAAUUAAUUCUAUUGGAGGUGGGUCGCUUGAGAUUUGUUAGCCUUUGGCGUGGUAGGCCUAGAUUCAAUGUUAAGGUCCUUAUUUUUGAUAAGACUGUGACUUGUGUAAUUUAAUAAGAGUUUUGUAAUAUAAUCAUGUAUUAUGUGGAGACACAUGAUUUUUAGUUAUUGUUCGUAAAUGUGUUAUAGA